GAUUUCUCUCCUGUACCGGGGUCUGUUUGUCUUCAGACACUAUGGAUUUGAUUUUAUUUUAAAAGAAGACAACUUUUCUUCGUAAUUACACUGAAAGAGGGAGGUUCUUCUGGAAAAUAUGCUUUAUAUUAGUAGAUUUAAAGUGGAAGUGUUUGGUGUGCUAGAUAUGGCCCUGGACUCCCCCUCUGGAUCACAGGAGAUGAGAAGCAAGAACAUUGAGGCUCUGGAUCAAUCUUGCAGCUGUUGUGGGUAUUUACAGAAGGAAAAAGAACUUGGAGAUGUCCCAUGGCUGGCUCAUUUAAAUGACUAUACAGUUCUGCUUCUUGUGAAAAAAAAAAAAGAAAGAAAAAAGAAAAAAAAAAAGAGAGAGAGAAAUCUUCAGAACUCCCAUUCUGCUCUGGCCCAGAGUUCUUACCUCAAUGAAUCAGUGUGAUCACACUUCCGAGUUUAUAAAUUGCAGCUUGAACACAGAUUUCUACAUAACCCAUUGAUAUCUAUAUAAGCCAAUAAAGCUGCUGAAGGUGGGAAUUUCA
ensembl:lncRNA